rnacentral:lncRNA from 1 species
AGCCAAUGAGAAACACUGCAGCUCAGCCAAUGAGAAACACUGCAGCUCAGCCAAUGAAAAACGCUGAAGCUCAGCCAAUGAGAAACACUGCAGCUCAGCCAAUGAGAAGCUGGUUGCCACCCUGAAAUGUUACUUUCCCCCAAUGGACUUUCCUUUAGAACAGCCCCUCCCUCUCCCCCUUUUUCCCAAUAAAGGCAGCUCCCGUCCUUCUUCUCUGGAUUUGCCUAUGGUUCUCCAUAGCAUGCACACCCUGAAUUGUAAUUCUCUUGGCUAUUCCUGAAUAAACUCAUUAUGAAAUAAAAUAACAGGCAAAUUCGCCUUUUAAGUUGACAUGUCAAGUACCUGGCAAUCUGGUCUUGGAUCUCAGGUUGGCCUCCCACCCCGAGUUCGCUCCCCAGUGGGGAAGCCUUACGUCGGCAGCAUCGCCGCAGCACGUGCCGCCUGUGUGCCAUGCAUGCCUCUGCGCCUGCGCAGACUCCCCGCUGAACUACAUUUCCCAGAUCCCCGCGGGAUAUAGGCUCCUCAGGGCCACCGUCCUCUGAUGGCAAUGGCAGAAGGAAGCCAGGGGUCCAGGGCGGCCUCCACCUGGGCCUACGAUCUCAGAGCUCCUUCUGGCUUCCGGAGGCGGAGUGGAGAAGGCGGCCACAGAGUUCCUUUCCUCUCGACCAUCACAGGCUGUGUUCUGAAAGCUGACCGUCACCAGCAUCCGUCUCCAGGGCAACGGACAACUCCGGAAACGACGAGUUUGUCUCCAUGGCAACUGUCUGAGCGCUGGCGCUAGCAUCCUCGAGUUCCAGGAUGAAGAGGAUGACUGCCUUGCUUUUGCUCCUUUUGGCUGCUCGAGCUGAUUAGCCCUGAGCUAACGUCUGCUGCCAAUCCUCCUCUUUUUGCUGAGGAAGACUGGCCCUGAGCUAACAUCCGUGCCCAUCUUCCUCCACUUUAUACGUGGGACGCCUACCACAGCAUGGCUUGAUGAGCAGUGCCGUGUCCACACCCGGGAUCCAAACCAGCGAACCCAAGGCCGCUGAAGUGGAACGUGCAAACUUAACUGCUGUGCCACCGGGCUGGGCCCUGGGUUUUGUUUUUUGAUCCAAAUUUUUCAACAUUGAAAAAUAAAGAUAUGGAAUACAGAGUAAAACAAAACCAGAAAGAAAUACACCCAAAAAUGACUGGGCUGUGGGAUUAUGGGGAAUUAGCAUUUUAGUUCAUACUUCUCUACACUUUCCAAAUUAUCCUUUGCAACGAGCACGUUAUUUUACUUAAAAAUUUUUUUCCCGUUAUAAACACAUGCGUAUUGUUU